UCUCCAGGAGUGGUGACUCUCAUCUGCUCCAAGAUGAACCCACUGUGGACCCUCGUCUUUGUGCUGUCAGCCCCCAGAGGGGUCCUGUCCCAGGUGCAGCUGCAGGAGUCGGGACCCAGCCUGGUGAAGCCCUCACAGACCCUCUCCCUCACCUGCAGGGUCUCCGGAUUCUCAUUAAGCAGCGAUGGUGUAGGCUGGGUCCGCCAGGCUCCAGGAAAGGCGCUGGAGUGGCUUGGUAUCAUAUAUAGUGGUGGAAGUACAUACUAUAACCCGGCCCUGAAAUCCCGGCUCAGCAUCACCAGGGACACCUCCAAGAGCCAAGUCUCCCUGUCACUGAGCAGCGUGACAACUGAAGACACGGCCGUGUACUACUGUGCAAGAGACACAUGUGCAUGUUCUUCUUUGAAAAAUAUCAUUGACGUCUGGGGCCGAGGACUCCUGGUCACCGUCUCCUCAGAAAGUGAAUCUCACCCGAAAGUCUUCCCCCUGGUGUCCUGUGUGAGCUCCCCAUCUGAUGAGAACACGGUGGCCCUGGGCUGCCUGGCCCGGGACUUCGUGCCCAAUUCUGUCAGCUUCUCCUGGAAGUUCAACAACAGCACAAUCAGCAGCGAGAAAUUCUGGACCUUCCCCGAAGUCCUGAGGGAUGGCUUGUGGUCGGCCUCCUCUCAGGUGGCCCUGCAUUCCUCAAGCGCCUUUCAAGGGACGGAUGGCUACCUGGUGUGUGAAGUCCAGCACCCCAAGGGAGGAAAGACCAUCACGACCGUGAUGGUGGUCGCUCCAGAGCCGGAAGUGUUGUCCCCCGUCGUGAGUGUCUUUGUCCCGCCUCGCAACAGCCUCUCUGGUAAUGGCAAUAGCAAGUCCAGCCUCAUCUGCCAGGCCACUGACUUCAGCCCCAAACAGAUCUCCUUGUCCUGGUUUCGUGAUGGAAAGCGGAUAGUGUCUGGUAUUUCUGAAGGCCAGGUGGAGACUGUACAGACCUCACCCAUAACAUACAGGGCCUACAGCAUGCUGACCGUCACGGAGCGAGAAUGGCUCAGCCAGAGCGUGUACACCUGCCAGGUGGAACACAACAAGGAAACCUUCCAGAAGAACGCAUCCUCUUCGUGUGAUACUACACCACCGUCUCCCAUCGGAGUCUUCACCAUCCCCCCAUCCUUUGCCGACAUCUUCCUCACGAAGUCAGCCAAGCUUUCCUGUCUGGUCACAAACCUGGCCUCCUAUGAUGGCCUGAACAUCAGCUGGUCCCAUCAGAAUGGCAAGGCCCUGGAGACCCACACUUCUUUUGAGAGACACCUCAACGACACCUUCAGCGCCAGGGGUGAGGCCUCAGUCUGCUCGGAGGACUGGGAGUCCGGAGAGGAGUACACGUGCACAGUGGCCCACUUGGACCUGCCCUUCCCAGAAAAGAGGACUAUCUCCAAGCCCAAAGACGUCGCCAUGAAACCGCCGUCCGUGUACGUGCUGCCUCCAACGCGGGAACAGCUGAGCCUGCGGGAGUCAGCCUCCGUCACCUGCCUGGUGAAGGGCUUCGCGCCCGCGGACGUGUUCGUGCAGUGGCUGCAGAAGGGGGAGCCCGUGGCCAAGAGCAAGUACGUGACAAGCAGCCCGGCGCCCGAGCCACAGGACCCCAGCGUGUACUUCGUGCACAGCAUCCUGACGGUGACCGAGGAGGACUGGAGCAAAGGGGAGACCUACACCUGCGUCGUGGGCCACGAGGCCCUGCCCCACAUGGUCACCGAGCGGACCGUGGACAAGUCCACCGAGGGGGAGGUGAGCGCUGAGGAGGAAGGCUUCGAGAACCUCAACACCAUGGCCUCCACCUUCAUCGUGCUCUUCCUCCUGAGCCUCUUCUACAGCACCACGGUCACCCUGUUCAAGGUGAAGUGACGGCCGGCCAAGGACACGGGGCACCAGAGAUGGAACAAGGGGGGCUGCCUUGGGGCCAGGCCCCUGGCCGAUGUGGCUUGUUCGCUUGUACUGAAAUCUUCCCCGCAUCCUCUCCAGCUUCAAGCUGUAAGAAACUGGCUUUUCUCGGAGCGGCUGAGUGCCGUGGCCAAGCAU